AUUGAACGCUGGCGGCAGGCCUAACACAUGCAAGUCGAACGAGUGGCGGACGGGUGAGUAAUGUCUGGGAAACUGCCAGAUGGAGGGGGAUAACUACUGGAAACAGUAGCUAAUACCGCAUACCAUCGGAUGUGCCCAGAUGGGAUUAGAUAGUAGGUGGUGUAAUGGAGCACCUAGGCGACGAUCCCUAGCUGGUCUGAGAGGAUGACCAGCAACAGUGGAACUGAGACACGGUCCAGACUCCUACGGGAGGCAGCAGUGUGGAAUAGUGCACAAUGGGCGCAAGCCUGAUGCAGCAAGGCGGGGGGUAUGAAGAAGGCCUUCGGGGUGUAAAGUACUUUCAUCGAAGAGGCGUUACUCGCAGAAGAAGAACCGGCUAACUCCGUGCCAGACGCCGCGGUAAUUC
rnacentral:rRNA from 1 species